AGCCUGGUGCGAGGUUAUCCCUUGAGUGGCGGGCUUUGGACCCGUCGACGGGAGUUCGAAUCUCCCCCGGGCUACCA
rnacentral:tRNA from 1 species